UACGUAGGGUGCGAGCGUUGUCCGGAAUUAUUGGGCGUAAAGAGCUCGUAGGCGGUUUGUCGCGUCUGUCGUGAAAGCUUGGGGCUUAACCCCAAGUCUGCGGUGGAUACGGGCAGACUAGAGGCAGGUAGGGGAGAACGGAAUUCCCGGUGUAGCGGUGAAAUGCACAGAUAUCGGGAGGAACACCGGUGGCGAAGGCGGUUCUCUGGGCCUGUACUGACGCUGAGGAGCGAAAGCGUGGGGAGCGAACAGG
rnacentral:rRNA from 1 species